rnacentral:tRNA from 1 species
CGGAGCGUGGCGCAGCCUGGUAGCGCACUUGCAUGGGGUGCAAGGGGCCGGAGGUUCAAAUCCUCUCGCUCCGACCA